rnacentral:rRNA from 1 species
CCGUUGGAGGUAGGGGAAGUAACUACUGCGAAAGCAGAGCUAAUACCGCAUUCGCUUACUCCUUCAUGGGAAUAAGUAAAGCUCAAUGCGCUUCAAGAGGGGCUUGCGGCCGAUUAGCUAGUCGGUGGGGUAAUGGCCUACCGAGGCAACGAUCGGUAGCUGGUCUGAGAGGAUGACCAGCCACACUGGGACUGAGACACGGCCCAG